rnacentral:tRNA from 1 species
GGGCGAUUAACUCAGCGGGAGAGUGCCACCUUCACACGGUGGAAGUCGCAGGUUCGAUCCCUGCAUCGCCCACCA